rnacentral:rRNA from 1 species
CCUACGGGUGGCAGCAGUAGGGAAUCUUUCACAAUGGGCGAAAGCCUGAUGGAGCAACGCCGCGUGCAGGAUGAAGGCCUUCGGGUUGUAAACUGCUUUUAUAAGCGAGAAAUAUGAUGGUAACUUAUGAAUAAGGAUCGGCUAACUACGUGCCAGCAGCCGCGGUCAUACGUAGGAUCCGAGCAUUAUCCGGAAUGACUGGGAUUAAAGAGUUGCGUAGGUGGCAUAAUAAGUAGCUAUUGAAAUCUGGUGGCUCAACCAUUCAGACUAUUAGCUAAACUGUUAAGCUCGAGACCGUUAGGGGUAACUGGAAUUUCUAGUGUAGGAGUGAAAUCCGUUGAUAUUAGAAGGAACACCAAUAGCGUAGGCAGGUUGCUGGGACGGUUCUGACACUAAGGCACGAAAGCGUAGGGAGCAAACGGGAUUAGAUACCCUAGUAGUC